rnacentral:misc_RNA from 1 species
GUAGGUGAACCUGCGGAGGGAUCAUUAUUGAAUGCAUGGGGGGUGGGCUGGCGGAGCUGUGUUUCAUGUGUGUGGUUCGCUGCACACACGGGCACCUCCGUCUCUCGCCUUCCCAUUUCACUACUAUCCACUCAACCCCUGUGAACUGUUCGGAGUCUUCGGACUCUGGAAACAAGCCUGCUUGCGUUGCAAACCCCUGUUGGGCUUUGUGAUGCAAUGCAGCGCCAUUGUAUAACACCAUUUGAUGAGG